rnacentral:rRNA from 1 species
GAUGAACGCUGACAGAAUGCUUAACACAUGCAAGUCAACUUGAAUUUGGGUUUUUAACUUAGAUUUGGGUGGCGGACGGGUGAGUAACGCGUAAAGAACUUGCCUCACAGCUAGGGACAACAUUUAGAAAUGAAUGCUAAUACCUGAUAUUAUGAUUUUAAGGCAUCUUAGAAUUAUGAAAGCUAUAAGCACUGUGAGAGAGCUUUGCGUCCCAUUAGCUAGUUGGAGAGGUAACAGCUCACCAAGGCGAUGAUGGGUAGCCGGCCUGAGAGGGUGAACGGCCACAAGGGGACUGAGACACGGCCCUUACUCCUACGGGAGGCAGCAGUGGGGAAUAUUGGACAAUGGACCGAGAGUCUGAUCCAGCAAUUCUGUGUGCACGAUGAAGUUUUUCGGAAUGUAAAGUGCUUUCAGUUGGGAAGAAAUAAAUGACGGUACCAACAGAAGAAGUGACGGCUAAAUACGUGCCAGCAGCCGCGGUAAUACGUAUGUCACGAGCGUUAUCCGGAUUUAUUGGGCGUAAAGCGCGUCUAGGUGGUUAUGUAAGUCUGAUGUGAAAAUGCAGAGCUCAACUCUGUAUUGCGUUGGAAACUGUAUAACUAGAGUACUGGAGAGGUAAGCGGAACUACAAGUGUAGAGGUGAAAUUCGUAGAUAUUUGUAGGAAUGCCGAUGGGGAAGCCAGCUUACUGGACAGAUACUGACGCUAAAGCGCGAAAGCGUGGGUAGCAAACAGG